rnacentral:rRNA from 1 species
GAAUUACUGGGCGUAAAGCGCACGUAGGCGGAUCAGAAAGUAUAGGGUGAAAUCCCAGGGCUCAACCCUGGAACUGCCUUGUAAACUCCUGGUCUUGAGUUCGAGAGAGGUGAGUGGAAUUCCAAGUGUAGAGGUGAAAUUCGUAGAUAUUUGGAGGAACACCAGUGGCGAAGGCGGCUCACUGGCUCGAUACUGACGCUGAGGUGCGAAAGUGUGGGGAGCAAACAGGAUUAGAUACCCUGGUAGU